rnacentral:lncRNA from 1 species
AAAAAACACUAGCUUUGAAAUCAGAUUCACCUAGGUUUAAAUCCUGUUGUGCAGCAAAGUACCUGCAGAAUCUUAGUCAAGUCACUUAUCUUACUCUCUGAGCAGCAGAUUCUAUACCUAUUAUCUCUAUGUAUAGCUAUAUGUACCUGGCUUGUAGCUGGCAUUCCAUGAGUUAUUUUUCUUCUUCUUAAAUAUUUAAUUAGGCUUUUAGAAAAUUAACUGUGAUUUGUUUUUAAUAACAUUCUCAUCCAGAUUUUACAAAAUAAGGAUUUUAGUACUGUGCCUGAUAGGAAAAACAUCAAUAUUUCAAAAUAUCAAUACAGAUAACACCCUGGCUUCAUUCAUUUUUUGGAACUGCUUUAUAUAGUCAUACCACUAACUAUAGUUAAAUACUACUUAAAGGGUACCUAUGAAAAUGAUUUCCUCAAGUCUUCUAUGAUAACUUCUCUUAGGAGUUGACAUUCAAGCUGAGAUCUAACAGGAAACAGACAUUGAAUGACUGAAAGUAAUAACAUGCAGAGGGAACAAUUUGUGUAAAUGAUCUGAAGUGGAAACAAGCUUGGUGUGUCCAAAAUUGGCAAGUCAAUUUGGAUUAUAAAUGAGGGUGGCCAAAUCAAUCAUGUCUUUUGGGUCAGAGUAAAUAAUUUGUAGAGUUUUAUGCAAGGAAAGAGCUCCAAUACACCACACUUUAAAAUACUGCCAGUAGAGUACAAAUAAUGAGCACUACAAUUAAUCUGUUGGAACUGUAUUUACAAAAACAAGGUCUCAACAUACAAGUAACAAUAUACAUUCAGUUAGUUGAAGUACAGUGCCAGUAGCAUUAAGCAUGGUCUAAGAAAUUUAGGGCAGUUAAAAAAAGUCAGAGGCAUGGAAGGCUCUGCCACUUAUAACCAUGUGAUCAUGGGCAUGUCUCUUCAGCUCUCUGUACCUUAGUUUCUUUAUCUAUAAAAGAGAACACAACAAGUUUCUCCAAGAAUUGUUAUGAAAAUGAAAUAUGAUAACAAAUACACAAUAUUCAGAAAUUACCUGUUAUUUUGUGGGUACUUAAUAAGUAGUUCUUGUAAUAAUUAUGUUAUUCCAAUUCAGUUUCUUCUGCUCUUCCAGAUAGAUUCGUCAUCUCAAAACAACAAAGAUACACUGAUACAUGCUAGGUUUUUAAGAAAAUUCUUUCUUUUACACUGAAAUUUCCAUAGCCUCAACAUCUCAAUGAACAUAUAUUAUAUGUGUGUCAAUAUCUGAAUAUUUAAAUACACUUGUACACUAAUAUAGUUAAGAAUAAUAAUGAGCAUGUAUUUUAAAUCAAUAUAUAAAAACCUAUAUACUAAAUAGAUGUUGCUGCAUUUAAAGUACAAGAUCACAGGGCUACAAUUAUUCAAAACAGCUUUGAACUCUCUUCUAUACCCAGUAUAAUAAUGAAUUUUAAAGCUCCACAAAAAUCUAUUUUUAAUUUUUACUUGCUUUUGACCAAAAAUCUAACAAACAAAACACAAAAUCAAAAACCUGCCUCAUCAGACAUUAUUCACAAAGACAGCUGUCUGUAAAAAUCAAACAUAACCCUCAAAAAAAUGACUGAUAAUACAAAUAACAUUCAAAAUAACAGCAAAGUCUCUGAAGACAACCUUAGGAGUUUCCAGUGUUUAAGCAAAGCAGCAUUAAUGACAUAGUGCAUAGCCUCCUAUGAGAUUACUUUGUAAGUUGCCUGUUUGCAUAGAUAGUUUCUAGGAUAUUAGUUUAAAAGCAGUCUACCAGCCAGGUGCGGUGGCCAAAAGCAAGUUUUAAGAGAGGAGAGUAGACACAAGUAGAAGUGGGAUGGAGAUGCAGUGGACUGGCAGAGACUGCCUCUCUAACUUGAGAAUUUCAGGCACAUAUAGAUGGUGUAUUUUCUCUAUAUGCUCACUAGCCAAGAAGAUUAUAUGAAGCUUCACUUU